UACGUAGGUGACAAGCGUUGUCCGGAUUUACUAGGCGUAAAGAGCGCGCAGGCGGUCGAUCAAGUCGAGUGUGAAAGCCCCCGGCUCAACUGGGGAGGGUCAUUCGAUACUGAUCGACUCGAAGGCAGGAGAGGGUAGUGGAAUUCCCGGUGUAGUGGUGAAAUGCGUAGAUAUCGAGAGGAACACCAGUGGCGAAGGCGAGUCCCUGGACAGAUCCUGACGCUGAGGCACGAAAGCUAGGGGAGCAAACAGG
rnacentral:rRNA from 1 species